UGGCCUAGUGGUCAGGGCUAUGAAUUUCCAAUCCGAAGACGGCGGGUUCGAUUCCCGU
rnacentral:tRNA from 1 species